AGCGGCAAAACCCACACCCGUCAGUUGGGAUGCUGUUUAGCAUCCACCCCAAUUCCCCUCCUCGUUUCUGUCAAGCUCGCCACUAGCUUCUUCUCUCUCUGUUUCUCCUGUCACUAAGGUUAUGGGCCCAGCUGACGCCCACACGAUUAAAUACAAAAAUGGCAGAGAAUUCCGAGGGCAAACGUGAUUUCACCAAAUUCAAUGGAGUGAAUUUCCCGCAAUGGAAAUUUGCAGUCAUGCUGAAACUGAAGCAAAAGAAACUGGAUGGGAUAGUCCUGGGUUACGACAGAAAACCAAAUGAGGUAUGUCAAGAAAUGGAGGUAGAAAGAGUGAAGGUCACUGUGAUUACCAACCAGAAUGAAAUCGACACAUGGAUAGACAAGUUCAUUAACGC